UACAGAGGGGGCAAGCGUUGUUCGGAAUUACUGGGCGUAAAGGGCGCGUAGGCGGCCUGUUAAGUCGAACGUGAAAUCCCCGGGCUCAACCCGGGAACUGCGUCCGAUACUGGCAGGCUUGAAUUCGGGAGAGGGAUGUGGAAUUCCAGGUGUAGCGGUGAAAUGCGUAGAUAUCAAGAGGAACACCUGAGGUGAAGACGGGUUGCUGGGCCAACACUGACGCUGAUGCGCGAAAGCCAGGGGAGCAAACGGG
rnacentral:rRNA from 1 species